ACCACAAGGCAAAACAGAGCUUCACACCUGACAACUAGAACAUGACACAAGCAGCUUAAAAUAAAAAAAACAAACCAGCAGUAGAAAGUCACAUCGCCCCUAAGGAUUCGAUUUUAGCCCUCAUGGCAGCAGCAGCAAGCAGUAAUAUUAACACCAGGACAACACCAGAACGCUCACAGGAGGACAAGACCAGACCAAAAAGAUCUCCUGGGUAGGCUAUCUUUUACUAAAUCAGUAAGCCACAGUGGGUGCAGAACACAGGGGAUGCAGGAGAGAUUCCUUCAGGAUCCAGGACCGGUGUGACAAAAGCCGCUGACAAAUGACAUGACCCCAA
rnacentral:lncRNA from 1 species